rnacentral:rRNA from 1 species
CCUACGGGUGGCUGCAGUGGGGAAUAUUGCACAAUGGGGGCAACCCUGAUCCAGCCAUGCCGCGUGUGUGAAGAAGGCCCUCGGGUUGUAAAGCACUUUCAGUGAGGAAGAACGCCUGGUGGUUAAUACCCAUCAGGAAAGACAUCACUCACAGAAGAAGCACCGGCUAACUCCGUGCCAGCAGCCGCGGUAAUACGGAGGGUGCGAGCGUUAAUCGGAAUUACUGGGCGUAAAGCGCGCGUAGGUGGCUUGAUAAGCCGGUUGUGAAAGCCCCGGGCUCAACCUGGGAACGGCAUCCGGAACUGUCGAGCUAGAGUGCAGGAGAGGAAGGUAGAAUUCCCGGUGUAGCGGUGAAAUGCGUAGAGAUCGGGAGGAAUACCAGUGGCGAAGGCGGCCUUCUGGACUGACACUGACACUGAGGUGCGAAAGCGUGGGUAGCAAACAGGAUUAGAUACCCGUGUAGUC